UACAGAGGGUGCAAGCGUUAAUCGGAAUUACUGGGCGUAAAGCGUGCGUAGGUGGUUUGUUAAGUCAAGUGUGAAAUCCCGGGGCUCAACCCCGGAACUGCAUUUGAUACUGGCGGACUAGAGUGCGGUAGAGGAUGGUGGAGUUCCCGGUGUAGCGGUGAAAUGCGUAGAUAUCGGGAGGAACAUCAGUGGCGAAGGCGGCCAUCUGGACUGACACUGACACUGAGACGCGAAAGCGUGGGUAGCAAACAGG
rnacentral:rRNA from 1 species